GGAUAAGCCUGGGAAACUGGGUCUAAUACCGGAUACGACCAAUCUCUGCAUGGGGUGUUGGUGGAAAGCGUUAUGGAGUGGUUUUAGAUGGGCUCACGGCCUAUCAGCUUGUUGGUGAGGUAAUGGCUUACCAAGGCGACGACGGGUAGCCGGCCUGAGAGGGUGACCGGCCACACUGGGACUGAGACACGGCCCAGACUCCUACGGGAGGCAGCAGUGGGGAAUAUUGCACAAUGGGCGCAAGCCUGAUGCAGCGACGCCGCGUGAGGGAUGACGGCCUUCGGGUUGUAAACCUCUGUUAGCAUCGAAGAAGCGAAAGUGACGGUAGGUGCAGAGAAAGCGCCGGCUAACUACGUGCCAGCAGCCGCGGUAAUACGUAGGGCGCGAGCGUUGUCCGGAAUUAUUGGGCGUAAAGAGCUUGUAGGCGGUUGGUCGCGUCUGCUGUGAAAGGCCGGGGCUUAACUCCGGUUUUGCAGUGGGUACGGGCUAACUAGAGUGCAGUAGGGGAGACUGGAAUUCCUGGUGUAGCGGUGGAAUGCACAGAUAUCAGGAGGAACACCGAUGGCGAAGGCAGGUCUCUGGGCUGUAACUGACGCUGAGAAGCGAAAGCAUGGGGAGCGAACAGGAUUAGAUACCCUGGUAGUCCAUGC
rnacentral:rRNA from 1 species